AAAAUCAAUAUCCUUCGUUGUUUUAUUCCUUCAACCAGCACAGAGGCAACUACAAGGGUAAGAACAAAUUCAAUGCUCGCCUUUGUACACAACACAAGGGUUAAAAUAAAGGUGCGAAAUCGAUGUUUCAAUGGGAAUCAGCCACCUUCGUGAUAGAUUUCGUGUUUGGAACUCUCUCAGACGUACGUUCUGAAAUCAUCUUCCAUUCUUGGCAAUUUGCAGAGCAUUUAGGAUGGGUGGUAUGUCCUGAGAUAAGAUCUGGCCUUUUUUACUAAUUUGCUCAAGGACUUGAAUGCUUCGUGCCUGCCCUAGCUUGCUUAGGUUCCGGGUCUGUUCUUUCACCAAAGAAGAAGCUAGUGGAUGCUUCUGCUGAUCAAGAUCUAGCUAGCUAGCUAGCUGUCCCUUGAUUGUAUUGAAAAAGAAACCUCCCUUGAGGAAACAAGAGAGGGAGUGUGUGUGAAAGAGAAUCUAUGGUGAUUGCGACGUGACAAAUGGGCUUAGAUCUUGACAUUUCAUCUCUGGAAGAGAUAGGGAGGAGACAAUAGUGACAAACACGAAAUGGUUAGAAGGCGAGAGGUAAAGGCUCAAGUUAAGGUUUGCAUGCAAGGUAGCCUUAAAUGAUAGUCGGUGUUAAGGUCUCUCUCAUUCUUUCCCUCUGCUGCUGCUGCUGUUUUUUUCUUUUUUCUUUUUUUUUCUCUUGCCACAUUUAAUUUAAGGUCUCUUUCUCUUUCUUAAGUAUAAACUAUGGAGUAAAUAAAAACAUUUUAUCAACAGCGAAAGAGAAGAGCUUGGCGCAGAGAGUCACAGCUGUUAUUGUCCUUC
rnacentral:lncRNA from 1 species